AUUGAACGCUGGCGGCAGGCCUAACACAUGCAAGUCGAGCGGAGCGGCGGACGGGUGAGUAAUGCAUAGGAAUCUGCCUGGUAGUGGGGGAUAACGUCCGGAAACGGGCGCUAAUACCGCAUAAUAUCAGAUGAGCCUAGGUCGGAUUAGCUAGUGGGUGGGGUAAAGGCCUACCAAGGCGCCGAUCCGUAACUGGUCUGAGAGGAUGAGCAGUCAAACGGGAACGGAGCCACGGUCCAGACUCCUACGGGAGUCAGCAGUGGGGAAUAUGGGACAAUGGGCUAAAGCCUGAUCCUGCCAUGCCGCGUGUGUGAAGAAGGUUUUCGGAUUUUAAAGCACUUUAAGUUGGGAGGCGUUACCAACAGAAUAAGCACCGGCUAACUUCGUGCCAGCAGCCGCGGUAAUUC
rnacentral:rRNA from 1 species